UACGAAGGGGGCUAGCGUUGCUCGGAUUGACUGGGCGUAAAGGGCGCGUAGGCGGUUCGUACAGUCAGACGUGAAAUUCCUGGGCUCAACCUGGGGGCUGCGUCCGAUACUGGUGGGCUCGAAUCCGGGAGAGGGAUGUGGAAUUCCAGGUGUAGCGGUGAAAUGCGUAGAUAUCUGGAGGAACACCGGUGGCGAAGGCGGCAUCCUGGACCGGUAUUGACGCGUGAUGCGCGAAAGCCAGGGGAGCAAAGCGGG
rnacentral:rRNA from 1 species